rnacentral:rRNA from 1 species
AUUGAACGCUGGCGGCAGGCUUAACACAUGCAAGUCGAGCGGGGGGAGGUAGCUUGCUACCUAACCUAGCGGCGGACGGGGGAGUAAUGCUUAGGAAUCUGCCUAUUAGUGGGGGACAACAUUUCGAAAGGGAUGCUAAUACCGCAUACGCCCUAAGGGGGAAAGCAGGGGAUCUUCGGACCUUGCGCUAAUAGAUGAGCCUAAGUCGGAUUAGCUAGUUGGUGGGGUAAAGGCCUACCAAGGCGACGAUCUGUAGCGGGUCUGAGAGGAUGAUCCGCCACACUGGGACUGAGACACGGCCCAGACUCCUACGGGAGGCAGCAGUGGGGAAUAUUGGACAAUGGGGGGAACCCUGAUCCAGCCAUGCCGCGUGUGUGAAGAAGGCCUUUUGGUUGUAAAGCACUUUAAGCGAGGAGGAGGCUACCGAGAUUAAUACUCUUGGAUAGUGGACGUUACUCGCAGAAUAAGCACCGGCUAACUCUGUGCCAGCCGCCGCGGUAACAC